rnacentral:misc_RNA from 1 species
GAUGAAGAACGCAGCGAAAUGCGAUAAGUAAUGUGAAUUGCAGAAUUCAGUGAAUCAUCGAAUCUUUGAACGCACAUUGCGCCCGCCAGUAUUCUGGCGGGCAUGCCUGUUCGAGCGUCAUUACAACCCUCAGGCCCCCGGGCCUGGCGUUGGGGAUCGGCGGAGCCCCCCGUGGGCACACGCCGUCCCCCAAAUACAGUGGCGGUCCCGCCGCAGCUUCCAUCGCGUAGUAGCUAACACCUCGCGACUGGAGAGCGGCGCGGCCACGCCGUAAAACACCCAACUCUACUGAAGUUGACCUCGAAUCAGGUAGGAAUACCCGCUGAACUUAAUCAUAUCAAUAAGCGGAGGA